rnacentral:rRNA from 1 species
UGGCGCACGGGUGAGUAACGCGUAGGAAUUUACCAUUCGGUGGGGGACAACUGAUGGAAACGUCAGCUAAUACCGCAUACGCUCUACGGAGGAAAGAUUUAUUGCCGAAUGAUAAGCCUGCGUUAGAUUAGGUAGUUGGUGAGGUAAAAGCUCACCAAGCCGAUGAUCUAUAGCUGGUCUGAGAGGAUGAUCAGCCACACUGGGACUGAGACACGGCCCAGACUCCUACGGGAGGCAGCAGUGGGGAAUAUUGGACAAUGGGGGCAACCCUGAUCCAGCAAUGCCGCGUGAGUGAUGAAGGCCCUAGGGUUGUAAAACUCUUUCAACUGUGAAGAUGAUGACGGUAACAGUAGAAGAAGCUCCGGCUAACUCCGUGCCAGCAGCCGCGGUAAU